UACGUAGGGUGCGAGCGUUACUCGGAAUUACUGGGCGUAAAGCGUGCGUAGGUGGUGCGUUAAGUCUGUCGUGAAAGCCCCGGGCUCAACCUGGGAAUGGCGAUGGAUACUGGCGCGCUAGAGUGCGGUAGAGGAGAGUGGAAUUCCCGGUGUAGCGGUGAAAUGCGCAGAUAUCGUUUGGAACGCCAAUGGUGAAAACAGGUAACUGGGAGUGUGCCGACGCUGAGACACGAAAGCCAGGGGAGCGAACGGG
rnacentral:rRNA from 1 species